UCCGGUUUGACACCGGCAGUCCCCUUAGAGUGCCCAACUGAAUGAUGGCAACUAAGGGCGAGGGUUGCGCUCGUUGCGGGACUUAACCCAACAUCUCACGACACGAGCUGACGACAGCCAUGCAGCACCUGUCUCCGGUCCAGCCGAACUGAAGGGAUCGAUCUCUCGUUCCCGCGACCGGGAUGUCAAGGGCUGGUAAGGUUCUUCGCGUUGCUUCGAAUUGAACCACAUGCUCCACCGCUUGUGCGGGCCCCCGUCAAUUCCUUUGAGUUUCAACCUUGCGGUCGUACUCCCCGGGCGGGGUACUUCCUGCGGUAGCGCCGGCACCGACGGGAUCAAGACAGCCGGCACCUAGUGCCCAUCGUUUACAGCGUGGACUAC
rnacentral:misc_RNA from 1 species